rnacentral:tRNA from 1 species
CAGGGAGACAACAAAAUGUUUAAUAUUAUUAUUUUGUCACCUUAGGUCGAUCGGUAUCUCACGUUCUUAAUUUAUUAAGAAUUUCAUUUUCUAAGUUUUUCUAGGUCACACCCAUUAUUUCUCCUGGGCCAUUAGCUCAGGUGGUUAGAGCGCACCCCUGAUAAGGGUGAGGUCCCUGGUUCAAGUCCAGGAUGGCCCAUAUCUCUAUGUUGGGGGUAUAGCUCAGUGGGUAGAGCGCCUGCUUUGCAAGCAGGAUGUCAGCGGUUCGAGUCCGCUUACCUCCACUGAUUACCACCUCUUCCAUAAUCCGUAGAAAGGAAAUGUUUUGAGUUGUGAUCAAAUUCUGAACGAAUCUAGCUUCCUAAUAAAAUUAUUAAGAUGCUGGACUCAUUGAAUUAAUUUCAUUGUUUUCAGAGAACCUUGACAACUGCAUAGAUUAUUUUUUUAAAGACAAUAAGCAUCUUUAAUGAUGCAGAUUUAUUAUUUGUGCGAAUGCAUUAAUAACAAUUCUAUUAAGCUGAUGCUUCAAUUUUGAAGUUAUU